rnacentral:rRNA from 1 species
CCCUUAGAUGUUCUGGGCCGCACACGUGCUACACUGAGUGGAUCAGCGGGUCAGGUUGCGCGAAAGUGUUUCCUAAUCUUUAAAUCCGCUCGUGAUGGGGAUUGACGGUUGCAAUUUUCCGUCAUGAACGAGGAAUACCUUGUAAGCGCGGGUCAUCAUCUCGCGCUGAAUACGUCCCUGCCCUUUGUACACACCGCCCGUCGCUCCUACCGAUUGAGUGGUCCGGUGAGGCUUUGGGAUCUGAGCGGAAAGAGCGUUUCGCUGUUUCUGCCCGGAAAACUCAGUCGAACCUUAUCAUUUAGAGGAAGGAGAAGUCGUAACA